CGCAGCCCAGUCAAAUUCGGUCCCCGACCCCCCGUGUUGGGGACCGGCCACCGGCUGCCACAGCAACCCCCCCCCGUGUCCCCG